rnacentral:lncRNA from 1 species
GCCAGCCAUGUAGCAAAUGCUUCAAGGAUUUUUUUCUCUCACAAAAUCACAAGAUACAACUAUCACGGUGGGAGAAAAUCUUGUGCCUGAGUCUGGGUGGUAGAGACAAAGAGGAGGCAUUCCCAAAGAGAUUCUCAUGGAAAUUCCCAUUUUCCACUGAUGGGAAAAAACCCCCAAACACCACCCAAAAGAGGCAGGCUGGAGUAGAGAGGAGAGUCAAAGAGGUGCUCGUCCAUCUUUGGUGUCUACCUGCUACUUACCUCUCAUCUGUGUCUCCAAGAAGCUACCACAAGUGCAGUGGUCAUAUCCCAGAGAAACCAUCUCUACAGGUGGGAUAAACCUGGUUGAAGACAACUAAAAGGUCUCAUACUCGUUGGUGAAUUGGGGGGAUUUUACCCCAGUCAUAUGAAGAUUUCCCCAGCAGAAUGGAUAGAUGAGAACAAUUCAUUCCACUAGCUAUGAAGGCAGCUGAAGCAAGCACCGCAGAAUGCUUAGAGCUUUGUUAGACAUCGAAGAAGCCAAGAUCAUCGUCUCUAAUGGAAGCCAUCACCAAUCAUCUUACUUUUCUCUUGCCAAUGGAGUUUGAUGACUCUGGAAGAAAGAGCAAGGCUGGGGACUUUGUACAAUUCUGCCUCACUUAAAUCCAGUUUAUGUGUGAGUCAAAAGACAUGAAGAGUAAUGUCAUUCUGGUCCUCUUUAAGUAGGAAGGACAACAAGCAACCAAAUACCAGUGUGAACCAUGGUCUUUAAUGGAAGAUAGAUAGCUUGACACAUUUUUAAGCUUUGAGCACACUAUUCACACCUCAUGUCCUCCCUAAGACUUCAUCCUUCCUAGUUUCCCCUAAUUCCCU